GACGAACGCUGGCGGCGUGCUUAACACAUGCAAGUCGAGCGGAAAGGCCCUUUCGGGGGUACUCGAGCGGCGAACGGGUGAGUAACACGUGAGUAAUCUGCCCCUGGCUUUGGGAUAGCCACCGGAAACGGUGAUUAAUACCGGAUACGACCACUUCUCGCAUGGGAUGGUGGUGGAAAGUUUUUCGGCCAGGGAUGUGCUCGCGGCCUAUACGCUUGAUGGUGAGGUAAUGGCUCAACAUGGCUUCCACGGGUAGCCGGCCUGAGAGGGUGACCGGUCACACUGGGACUGAGACACGGCCCAGACUCCGACGGGAGGCAGCAGUGGGGAAUAUUGGACAAUGGGCGGAAGCCUGAUCCAGCAACGCCGCGUGAGGGAUGACGGCCUUCGGGUUGUAAACCUCUUUCAGCAGGGAAGAAGCGCAAGUGACGGUACCUGCAGAAGAAGCACCGGCCAACUACGUGCCAGCCGCCGCCGUAA
rnacentral:rRNA from 1 species